GGCGGCGUGCCUAAUACAUGCAAGUCGAACGAACUCUGGUAUUGAUUGGUGCUUGCAUCAUGAUUUACAUUUGAGUGAGUGGCGAACUGGUGAGUAACACGUGGGAAACCUGCCCAGAAGCGGGGGAUAACACCUGGAAACAGAUGCUAAUACCGCAUAACAACUUGGACCGCAUGGUCCGAGCUUGAAAGAUGGCUUCGGCUAUCACUUUUGGAUGGUCCCGCGGCGUAUUAGCUAGAUGGUGGGGUAACGGCUCACCAUGGCAAUGAUACGUAGCCGACCUGAGAGGGUAAUCGGCCACAUUGGGACUGAGACACGGCCCAAACUCCUACGGGAGGCAGCAGUAGGGAAUCUUCCACAAUGGACGAAAGUCUGAUGGAGCAACGCCGCGUGAGUGAAGAAGGGUUUCGGCUCGUAAAACUCUGUUGUUAAAGAAGAACAUAUCUGAGAGUAACUGUUCAGGUAUUGACGGUAUUUAACCAGAAAGCCACGGCUAACUACGUGCCAGCAGCCGCGGUAAUACGUAGGUGGCAAGCGUUGUCCGGAUUUAUUGGGCGUAAAGCGAGCGCAGGCGGUUUUUUAAGUCUGAUGUGAAAGCCUUCGGCUCAACCGAAGAAGUGCAUCGGAAACUGGGAAACUUGAGUGCAGAAGAGGACAGUGGAACUCCAUGUGUAGCGGUGAAAUGCGUAGAUAUAUGGAAGAACACCAGUGGCGAAGGCGGCUGUCUGGUCUGUAACUGACGCUGAGGCUCGAAAGUAUGGGUAGCAAACAGGAUUAGAUACCCUGGUAGUCCAUACCGUAAACGAUGAAUGCUAAGUGUUGGAGGGUUUCCGCCCUUCAGUGCUGCAGCUAACGCAUUAAGCAUUCCGCCUGGGGAGUACGGCCGCAAGGCUGAAACUCAAAGGAAUUGACGGGGGCCCGCACAAGCGGUGGAGCAUGUGGUUUAAUUCGAAGCUACGCGAAGAACCUUACCAGGUCUUGACAUACUAUGCAAAUCUAAGAGAUUAGACGUUCCCUUCGGGGACAUGGAUACAGGUGGUGCAUGGUUGUCGUCAGCUCGUGUCGUGAGAUGUUGGGUUAAGUCCCGCAACGAGCGCAACCCUUAUUAUCAGUUGCCAGCAUUAAGUUGGGCACUCUGGUGAGACUGCCGGUGACAAACCGGAGGAAGGUGGGGAUGACGUCAAAUCAUCAUGCCCCUUAUGACCUGGGCUACACACGUGCUACAAUGGAUGGUACAACGAGUUGCGAACUCGCGAGAGUAAGCUAAUCUCUUAAAGCCAUUCUCAGUUCGGAUUGUAGGCUGCAACUCGCCUACAUGAAGUCGGAAUCGCUAGUAAUCGCGGAUCAGCAUGCCGCGGUGAAUACGUUCCCGGGCCUUGUACACACCGCCCGUCACACCAUGAGAGUUUGUAACACCCAAAGUCGGUGGGGUAACCUUUUAGGAACCAGCCGCCUAAGGUGGGACAGAUGAUUAGGGUGAA
rnacentral:rRNA from 2 species